rnacentral:ncRNA from 1 species
GUCUUGAAACACGGACCAAGGAGUCUAACAUGUGCGCGAGCCGCGGGGCAGUACGAAACCCGUAAGGCGAAAUGAAGGUGAACGCCGGCGCGGUCCGGCGGAGGUUGGAUCCCGUCCCGUCGGGGCGGGCGCACUACCGGCCGAUCUUCUCCGCCCUGUCGGCGAGGUCGAGCGAGAGCGUGCAAGUCGGGACCCGAAAGAUGGUGAACUAUGCCUGAGGAGGUUGAAGCCAGAGGAAACUCUGGUGGAGGACCGUAGCGAUUCUGACGUGCAAAUCGAUCGUCAAAUUUGGGUAUAGGGGCGAAAGACUAAUCGAACCGUCUAGUAGCUGGUUCCCUUCGAAGUUUCCCUCAGGAUAGCUGGCGCUCUGUCGCAGUUUUAUCUGGUAAAGCGAAUGAUUAGAGGUCUUGGGGGCGAAACGCCCUCAACCUAUUCUCAAACUUUAAAUUGGUAAGAAGCCCGACUCGCUCGUUUGGAGCCGGGCAUGGAAUGCGAGUGCCAAGUGGGCCACUCUUGGUAAGCAGGACUGGCGAUGCGGGAUGAAGCGAACGCCGGGUUAAGGCGCCCGACGCGACGCUCAUCAGAGCCCACAAAAGGUGUUGGUUGAUAUAGACAGCAGGACGGUGGCCAUGGAAGUCGGAAACCGCUAAGGAGUGUGUAACAACUCACCUGCCGAAUCAAUCAGCCCUGAAAAUGGAUGGCGCUGGAGCGUCGGGCCUAUACCCGGCCGUCGCGGCGGUACGAGCAUCGAGUUGGUGCGCUAGGCCGCGACGAGUAGGAGGGCCGCG